GCCUCCGUAGCUCAACGGAUAGAGCUACCCCGUCCUAAGGGGGAGAUGGGGGUUCGAUUCCCUCCGGGGGCACCA
rnacentral:tRNA from 1 species